AGACCCGCCGGCCCGCCCCGGACCCACUCCGCCCAAAGGCCUGGUUGGCUGCGGCCGCUCGGAGGGACCCGCCUCAGGUACAAGUAGUAAGUCCAGUGCAUUUUCAGCAGUAGACUUUCUUCUGGAUCUGUCUGUGAAGUCAGAGCCACAUGUACCAUCCUGAUUCUGUGUUUUAUUCACUGCUGUGAGAACCACAGUGCCCAGAGGACCCCAAGCCAGCAAAGGCACAUCAGCGUGGAACCAAUGAAGGUCCAGGAGAGGGUCAUUUCUGUGUGUACCGUCGUGUUGGGACAGGACUUCCAGCAUCAUCCUAGUGGCGACCUGUUUCCUAUUCAGAGGUUCCAGAACACUGGGUCAGUUCCAAGGUGACCCAGACUGAGAAGGAGACGUGAGCAAGAAAAAUCAUUGCGCCUGCUUCACAGAGACAGAUCUGAAGCACUAGGCUGCUCCACCUGAGUCCGAUGGCGGCGGCAGCACUGAGGGACCCGCAUCAGGUAACCCUCGUCCUCUGGGCCCUCACCCUACCAGACACUAAA
rnacentral:lncRNA from 1 species